GAAAGAUGAAAAGAACUUUGAAAAGAGAGUUAAAUAGUACGUGAAAUUGUUGAAAGGGAAACGAUUGAAGCCAGUCGUACCUAUGGGUAAUCAGCCUUUUGGGUGUGAUUUUGUGGAGCGUGAGGAGUUAAACGCCUUCAUGCCUGCAUAUUCGUGCACUUUGGGUGUACUUGCCCGUGUGGUUGGUUAACAUCAAUUUUGGUGGUCAUAAAAUGACUGGAGGAAUGUAGCUUCGAUCUCGUAUUGAAGUGUUAUA
rnacentral:rRNA from 1 species